rnacentral:misc_RNA from 1 species
AACAAGGCGUACCUGCGGACCUGCGGAAGGAUCAUUACAGAGAACCUGCCCUUUGGGGUAAGAUCUCCCACCCUUUGUCUACUCUACCUUUGUUGCCUUGGCAGGCCCGUCGUAUGACCACCGGCAUCAGCUGGUCAGUGCCUGCCAGAGGACACUCCCAAAUUCUUCAUUUUGUGUGGUCUGAGCAUCAUAUAUAAUCAUUAAAACUUUUAACAACGGAUCUCAGAUCGGAAGAGCACA